AGCAAGAAGUACACAUGCUGAGUUUCUGCCUAUCGGAAGGCAGAAGCAAGAUGGUGUUGUAAUCCGAUUUUCCGAAGGGAGGGCAGGGGAGGGCCUUGUAGCCAUCCCGGAAGGGGGAGUAACAAUGAUACCGUUUUUGAUGCACGAGUACUACAGGCAAUGUGUUGACAGAAUUUCGGUAGCGUUUUCCUCAAAUUUGCUAUAAUAAUAUUUCAGCAAGUGUAUAUAGCAGUUGAUUCUCUUUACAGAAGCCUACAGUCAUUCAAUACAGUUACAUUUUGUUGUCCUCUCUGUCUCUUUCUCUCUGAUAGUCUCGAACAUCUCAGAGUGGUCAUCAAUCCUGGUUUCUGUGCCAAGAUCUGCGACUCUCCUCUCUUUUCAGACAGCAGCUGAACUCCAAAUCCUAACACUGAUGGAGCACAUGAAACCUCAGCAGUCGCAACUUGCUGCAAUGGCCAAAAGCCUAGAUGGAAGGAUGGAGAACAACUUGCACCAACCAGACGAUGACCUAAAACAGUGGCUACAGGACGGCACAAAUGCCAGGAUCAAAACACAACAUGGGACUCCUGAGAAAAGCAGCAAACCAGGCUGUUGUCUUGUGAAACAGUGGAUGUAAAGAAUCUAGCUAGCUAAAGCAUUUACUGCUAAUUGAAUGUACAAUUGUGUAAGCUUGCCUUGCAAUGCAGCUGAAGUAACAUAGCUAGCUAACUAUUUACUUGCUUAUUGUGUGGUGGAGGAUAAAAACAACUGUAUGCCUAUGACUGUGUAGCUAGCUACUGUAUGUAGCCGAUCUGUGUAAGGACCCUAAAACGUUUGGUAUGAAUUUUAGUUCAGAACCUAUGAACCUCAGCUAUCAUAGUUCAAGUCUGAAUGGC
rnacentral:lncRNA from 1 species